rnacentral:rRNA from 1 species
UACGUAGGAGGCAAGCGUUGUCCGGAAUUACUGGGCGUAAAGCGCGUGUAGGUGGUGGGACAAGUCUGCUGUGAAAGCGCCUGGCUUAACCGGGCGAGGUCGGCGGAAACUGUCCGACUAGAGGACGGUAGAGGGGGGUGGAAUUCCCGGUGUAGUGGUGAAAUGCGUAGAUAUUGGGAGGAACACCGGUGGCGAAGGCGGCCCUCUGGACCGGUACUGACGCUGAGGUGCGAAAGCGUGGGGAGCAAACAGG